GCUAAUACAUGCACGAAAGCUCGGACCUCACGGAAAGAGCGCAUUUAUUAGAACAAAACCAAUCGAAUCCUCGUGGUUCGUCUAUUGGUGACUCUGAAUAACUAAGUUGAUCGCACAGUCAUAGAACUGGCGACGUAUCUUUCAAAUAUCUGCCUUAUCAACUUUCGAUGGUAGGUUAUAUGCCUACCAUGGUUAUAACGGGUAACGGAGAAUAAGGGUUCGACUCCGGAGAGGGAGCCUGAGAAAUGGCUACCACAUCCAAGGAAGGCAGCAGGCGCGCAAAUUACCCAAUCCCAGUACGGGGAGGUAGUGACGAAAAAUAACGAGAUACUCCACUAUGUGGCCUGUCAUCGGAAUGGGUACAAUUUAAAUCUUUUAACGAGGAUCUAUUAGAGGGCAAGUCUGGUGCCAGCAGCCGCGGUAAUUCCAGCUCUAAUAGCGUAUAUUAAAGUUGUUGUGGUUAAAACGCCCGUAGUUGAUUUUUCGACUUUGGAGCACGGUAUCUCGAAAGAGUUUUCACUGUGUCUUCAAGUCUCAUCUUCUUGUUUUCUUUGGCUGCUCUUUUCUGGGUGUCCUUAGUGACUUGAACGUUUACUUUGAAAAAAUUAGAGUGCUUAAAGCAAGCUUAACGCUUGAAUAAAGUGCAUGGGAUAAUGGAAUGGGACCUUAGUCUUAUUUUGUUGGUUUUCGAGAUUAAAGUAAUGAUUAAGAGGAAUAGACGGGGGCAUUCGUAUUGUUGCGUUAGAGGUGAAAUUCUUGGAUCGCAGCAAGACGAACAACUGCGAAAGCAUUUGCCAAGAAUGUUUUCAUUAAUCAAGGACGAAGUUA
rnacentral:rRNA from 1 species